rnacentral:rRNA from 1 species
CCUACGGGAGGCAGCAGUGAGGAAUAUUGGUCAAUGGGCGAGAGCCUGAACCAGCCAAGUCGCGUGAGGGAGUACUGCCCUAUGGGUUGUAAACCUCUUCUGCCGGGGAGCAAAAGCUGGACGUGUCCGGCUGUGAGAGUACCCGAAGAAAAAGCAUCGGCUAACUCCGUGCCAGCAGCCGCGGUAAUACGGAGGAUGCGAGCGUUAUCCGGAUUUAGUGGGGUUAAGGGGUGCGCCGGCGGAUUUUGAAGUUAGCGGUAAAAUCGUGGGGCUCAACCCCAUCCAGCCGUUGAUAUUGGGGAUCUAGAGUGUGCGAGAGGUAUGCGGAAUGCGAGGUGUAGCGGUGAAAUGCAUAGAUAUCACGCAGAACCCCGAUUGCGAAGGCAGCAUCCCGGUGCACAACUGACGCUCAGGCACGAAAGCGUGGGUAUCGAACAGGAUUAGAUACCCUAGUAGUC